GCGUCCAUGCGGCCAGGAACAUACCGUCCUACAGACAGCAAGUUCCGAAUGGAUAGUUCCGAAGACACCGUAUGGAAGGAUCUCUGAACAGUUUUUAUGCACUGGGCAUUUAGAUGUGCUGCCACGAAUAAUUGCGGGGUUCAGAGACGAGCAGAGGACAGUUUACAGAGGUCUUCUAUCAGAAAUUAAAGAUACUUCAAAUUGUAGAUGGCCGGGAUAAUAAUAUAUUAUUUGAAGUUAUACGAAAAUGGAAGAUGCCCAUGUGGCCGCUCUGGAUAAUUGAAUUAUAGUUCUAAUUGAUAUUCUAUGUACAGUGUUGUAGUUAAAAAGGAUGGUGACACAGGAGCUGAU